rnacentral:misc_RNA from 1 species
GAAUUGCGAAAAGUAAUGUGAAUUGCAUAAUUCCGUGAAUCAUCAAAUCUUUGAACGCACCUUGCGCUUGUUGGAAUUCCGACAAGCAUGCUUGUUUGAGUAUUUAAUAUAAAUCAGCCAGUGCUGGAUGUGGGCGAUAUAUGCGCCUUAAAAUUAAAUCACUUGUAGUUAAGCCAAGACUUUUUGUCAAUUUGACUACAAGAUCACACUUUUAAUCUCAAAUCAAGCAAGAUUACCCGCUGAACUUAA